UCUUGAUUCCUUGUGCUGCAUUACUUGCAAAAAAGUAUUUUGACUCGCUGCGACAAUGUGAUUGUCAUGGCCUCCCCGCUUGGCUCCUCGUUGUGAAUUACGUAAAUAAUACCCUAUUAUAAGGAAAUUAUUGGUAUACAAAGUAGAGUUAACAAAAACUAUGUGGAAUAAAACCUUGCAUAUAAUUCUUAUACCGCAAAUAUUUACAGUACUUGAAAACUUUAUCAAAUACAUUGAUAAUAAUAUAAUAAAACCUUUGAACAUAUAAAAAUAAUGACUCAGUAAAAAUGUGUAGACCCACAUGAAGUUAGAAAUAAAAUAGAUAAUGUGAUGGGAAAAGAAAGAGAAAAUAAAAAAUAAAAGAAAGUGAAUUUGGGAUAAAAAAGAAAAAGAGUGUAAAUAUAUGAAAGUUGUUUGCUAAAAAGCCCCAUUGACAUCAUCAUAGAUAAAAUAUUUACAAUUUAAUAAAUUGAACAUGUAGUCAGCAAUUACCCUUGCGCUUCAAGAGGCUUGUCAAGAUUAUCAUGUACAAGUCUAUCUGAUAUUUGUUUGCUUGACUUUGACGUGUUAUUUGGAAGCAAUAGAGUGAGCUUGUGAUCUGUUCUAUUGCUUCUAAGUGUUUGAUUAUGAAAUGAUCUUGUAGGAGCACAUCUUGUUUUAGUUAUUGGAGAUGGAGUUGGUGUUGCUGCAACCGUCAUGAAUGGUGGUGGUGGUGAUGGUGGUCUUCUGAUAUGAUUUUGCAUGCAACCCCCCAUUCUUCUGGCCUUCAUCACCAUGGUUGAGUUUCCUAAAAAGUUAGAAAUGAAGUAAA
rnacentral:lncRNA from 1 species